UACAGAGGGUGCAAGCGUUAAUCGGAUUUACUGGGCGUAAAGCGUGCGUAGGCGGUUCGCUAAGUCGGUUGUGAAAUCCCUGGGCUUAACCUGGGAACUGCAGUCGAUACUGCCGUGCUUGAGGACUGGAGAGGAGACUGGAAUUUACGGUGUAGCGGUGAAAUGCGUAGAUAUCGUAAGGAAGACCAGUGGCGAAGGCGGGUCUCUGGCUCGACCCUGACGCUGAGAGGCGAAAGCGUGGGGAGCGAACGGG
rnacentral:rRNA from 1 species